GUAGCGGGUAUAGUUUAGUGGUAAAAGUGUG
rnacentral:tRNA from 16 species